GUGAUUCUCCUGCCUCAGCCUCCUGAGUAGCUGGGGUUAUAGCCAUGGACUCCUGGAGAGACGCCUUGGAGGGAACCUGCGAAAAGAUACCAGCAAGAAACAACUCGGAGUUUCAGAUUACUUCCAACCAGGACAGCCUACAAGAUAGCAGUACAAUCGGGAGAAUUGGGCAAUGUAAUUAUAGUAUGGAAAUGAUGUUGAUCACUCAAGCAGAGUGUAGACCUUGAAUCUAAAACCUUGCUCUGUCUUCCCACCCAUUUUCCAUGGCUCGCACUUGAAGCUGUAGCCACCACACC